AUUGAACGCUGGCGGCAGGCCUAACACAUGCAAGUCGAACGGUAGCACAAAGGAGCUUGCUCCUUGGGUGACGAGUGGCGGACGGGUGAGUAAUGUCUGGGAAACUGCCCGAUGGAGGGGGAUAACUACUGGAAACGGUAGCUAAUACCGCAUAACGUCGCAAGACCAAAGAGGGGGACCUUCGGGCCUCUUGCCAUCGGAUGUGCCCAGAUGGGAUUAGCUAGUAGGUGGGGUAACGGCUCACUUAGGCGACGAUCCCUAGCUGGUCUGAGAGGAUGACCAGCCACACUGGAACUGAGACACGGUCCAGACUCCUACGGGAGGCAGCAGUGGGGAAUAUUGCACAAUGGGCGCAAGCCUGAUGCAGCCAUGCCGCGUGUAUGAAGAAGGCCUUCGGGUUGUAAAGUACUUUCAGCGAGGAGGAAGGCGUUGUGGUUAAUAACCGCAACGAUUGACGUUACUCGCAGAAGAAGCACCGGCUAACUCCGUGCCAGCCGCCGCGGUAACAC
rnacentral:rRNA from 1 species